AGCCAGUGAUGACCCUCAUCCUUUUCUGACACCUCGUAUGAGCUGCUGAGCAGCAAGUGAUUUGGAUUAUUAGGUCUGAGGCUC